UCUUUUUAGAAUGAUGAAAAACUUUGGAUUUUCUUAAUGAUAUGGUCUGAAACAGUAUGCUGUCUUUUUCUUCAGGUGGCAGUGCACUUACUAUCAGAGAAAGAGAAGAACGAUAUGGCUCAGUUAGUGAAUACAAUGGUUUCUUGUUGUAUUACAUAUAAAAACCUGAAAUUUGAUCCUCUGCCUAGUACCUCAAGACAUCAUGCAGUUUCAGAUUCUUCAAUGCUUUCAUUGAUCUCCAAUUGGUGACUUAAUAAACUUCAAGAUGGUUUUUGGCGUGGAAAUGUGAAUAUUCUUUAUUUGUGUGCGGAGGACAUUGCUCUUUUUUAUAAUAUGUUAUUAUGUUUCCUUUGUUUUUUUGUGAAUUACUAUUGUUUGUACAGAUAACUAUUGGCGUCGUACAAAUUAGUUUUGUCAUAGAACUUAUUACAUUUGGCGUGGUACAAAUUACUUGACAUGGUAUUGUGGAUAUUUCUUUUUUUGUGUUCGAAAGACAUAGUUUUUGUAUAAUCCUUUGUUUUGUAUAGAAUUAUUAUUUUAAGUUA